UAACACGUGGGUAACCUGCCUGUAAGAUUGGGAUAACUCCGGGAAACCGGAGCUAAUACCGGAUAAUAUUUCGAACCGCAUGGUUCGAAGUUGAAAGGUGGCUUUUGCUACCACUUACAGAUGGACCCGCGGCGCAUUAGCUAGUUGGUGAGGUAACGGCUCACCAAGGCAACGAUGCGUAGCCGACCUGAGAGGGUGAUCGGCCACACUGGGACUGAGACACGGCCCAGACUCCUACGGGAGGCAGCAGUAGGGAAUCUUCCGCAAUGGACGAAAGUCUGACGGAGCAACGCCGCGUGAGCGAAGAAGGCCUUCGGGUCGUAAAGCUCUGUUGUUAGGGAAGAACAAGUACCGUUCAAAUAGGGCGGUACCUUGACGGUACCUAACCAGAAAGCCACGGCUAACUACGUGCCAGCAGCCGCGGUAAUACGUAGGUGGCAAGCGUUGUCCGGAAUUAUUGGGCGUAAAGCGCGCGCAGGCGGUUUCUUAAGUCUGAUGUGAAAGCCCACGGCUCAACCGUGGAGGGUCAUUGGAAACUGGGGAACUUGAGUGCAGAAGAGGAGAGUGGAAUUCCACGUGUAGCGGUGAAAUGCGUAGAGAUGUGGAGG
rnacentral:rRNA from 1 species